rnacentral:tRNA from 1 species
AGCCUUGUAGCGCAAUGGAUAACGCACUGGACUUCUAAUCCAGGGAUUGUGGGUUCGAAUCCCAUCAAGGUUA